CUUUGAACAGCUUGAGGGAGCCUUACCAUCGGUAGUCAACGGGUCUGCUUUCCCCUCGGGAUCAACUCUUCCAGGACCACCAAAAAUAACUUUGGCUGGGCUGGAAUACAAUGGCAUGAUCUCUGCUCACUGCAACCUCCGCCUCCUGGGUUCAAGCAAUUCUCCUUCCUCAGCCUCCCGAGUAGCUGGGACCACAGGCGCAUACCACUAUACCAGGCUAAUUUUUGUAUUUUUUAGUAGAGACUGGGUUUUACCAUGUUGGCCAGGCUGGUCUUGAAAUACUGACCUCAGAUGAUCCGCCCAUCUCAGCCUCCCAAAGUGCUGGGAUUACAGGCGUGCCCGGCCUGCCUGCAGGAGUUCUUUGGGCCCACAGUCUAAGGCAAACACAUACCCUGGGCCUGAGAGACAGCAGUCAAACACCUUACAGGAUACAGCCCGCAGCCUCCAGUGCUUUCCAGGCUCCUGCAGAGUUCUGCCAUCGGGCAUGGCUUCGUGAUGGCCUUGGUAAGUGUGAGGAGAGUGGUUUGGGGCUGGAAUGAAAGGCCGUGAAUCUGGAAACACACUGGAACCGAUCAACGCUAUCAGCCCUCAUGGUCGCUGAAGGGCGUUGGUUGCUCCUGGGCACCGCUGCUUCAGUUUCUGCAGUGGCUCUUUCAG
rnacentral:lncRNA from 10 species